rnacentral:rRNA from 1 species
GUGCCAGCCGCCGCGGUAAUACGGAGGAUCCAAGCGUUAUCCGGAAUCAUUGGGUUUAAAGGGUCCGUAGGCGGCUAUAUAAGUCAGCGGUGAAAGUUUGCAGCUUAACUGUAAAAUUGCCGUUGAUACUGUAUGGCUUGAAUUUUUGUGAAGUAACUAGAAUAUGUAGUGUAGCGGUGAAAUGCUUAGAUAUUACAUGGAAUACCAAUUGCGAAGGCAGGUUACUAACAAACGAUUGACGCUGAUGGACGAAAGCGUGGGUAGCGAACAGGAUUAGAAACCCCCGUAGUCC